CUGCUACUUCCUGCUUCCGGCGUUGCUCACAGCCUCUUAGGAGAAAGAAUGAGCCACCCUUGGAAUGGCGGCACUUCUCUUGAGAUGGGAUGUCUCUUACGUCCCUUCCACAGAUGAGAAGACUGAGGAACAGAGAGGACCAAGAACUUAACCUAGCAGGGCCCCAGGGAAGCCUCCCAGGCAGGUCUGGCCCUGGCUCUCACUCUCUCCUGGCUGUUGCUCACCAGAAAGGACCCGGAGCAACUCCCAGAGUGCAGCAUGGGAAGGAAGACCCAGGGUGUCUGCCCUACAGCACUGGAGUAGAGGAGUCCUCAAAGAAGCCUCGUUCCUGUUUUGGGGAGACUGCUAGACUGUCUCCCUGGCUUCUAGGGAGCCUAGGUGUUUUACAGGCUCCCUGCUGCAGCUGUGGGGCCUGCCUGCUCCCUCCAAGGAGAUGUUGCUUCGAGAGGAAGUAUGACGGCUCUCAGGGCCCCAAGUGGCCGCCCAGGGGCCAGCCUCAGGGGCCUGGAGUCCCUAGGGACUACUCAACACCUGCUCCAUUUCUCCUUUGCCCACCCUGCCUCAGAUGGAUUCAAGAACAGACCUAAGGUGGCCUGUUGGAGCAAACAGAAAUAAGGGUAGCUGAGUAAAUUUGAGCAUCAGAUAAAUAACAUUUUAGUGUCAGUACACACCCCAUGCAAUAUUUGAGACAUAUGUUUAAAAACGGGUUGGUACUUAUCAAGAAUUCAAAUUUAAUCGGAUGCCUGGAAAUUCAGGCAGGCCCCUCAUUUUAUUUUUAAAUUCUAUAAAUGUCCCUCAUUUCUGCUUAUUCAUGGGAGACACUUAGGAAUAAGAGCCUACAGCACACAUUAAUAUUCUCCUGUUAUUAUGAAAUUAAUCCAGUUUUAAAGCUUUGGAACAUUAUUGAUUUUUGGAAACAUUUCUGCAACUUUUUUAUUAACUUCAUAUUUCACAGUUUAUAAUAAAGACUUCCAGUGGAUAA